rnacentral:rRNA from 1 species
GGAUCCCAGCCGCCGCCGUAAUACGUAGGGUGCAAGCGUUGUCCGGAAUUAUUGGGCGUAAAGCGCUCGUAGGCUGUGAAUUGCGUCUAUUGUGAAAUCUGAUAGCUCAACUAUCAGCUUGCAACGGGUACGGAUUCACUAGAAUGCAAUAGGGGUAACUGGAAUUACUAAUGUAGUGGUGAAAUGCAUAGAUAUUAGUAAGAACACCAAUGGCGAAGGCAGGUUACUGGAUUGUAAUUGACGCUAAGGGGCGAAAGCGUGGGUAGCAAACGGGAUUAGAUACCCCGGUAGUCCACGCCGUAAACGUUGGGAACUAGGCGUAUACUUUAUGUAAGUGAAGUAUGUGUACGAAGCUAACGCGUUAAGUUCCCCGCCUGGGGAGUACGGCCGCAAGGCUAAAACUUAAAGGAAUUGACGGGGCCCCGCACAAGCGGCGGAGCACGCGGUUUAAUUCGAGGAUACGCGAAGAACCUUACCAAGGCUUGAAAUUUAGUGGACCGAUUAUAGAAAUAUGAUCUUUCCCUUACGGGACUGCUAAACAGGUGGUGCAUGGUCGUCGUCAGCUCGUGUCGUGAGAUGUUGGGUUAAGUCCCAUAACGAGCGCAACCCUUAUCUUAUGUUACUAACAUUUAGUUGAGGACUCAUAAGAGACUGCCAGAGAUAAUCUGGAGGAAGGUGGGGACGAAGUCAGGUCAUCAUGCCCCUUAUGUCUUGGGCUACACGCAUGCUACAAUGGAUAGCACAAAGAGUCGCAAUACUGUAAAGUGGAGCUAAUCUCAAAAAGCUAUUCUCAAUUCGGAUUGGGGUCUGCAACUCGACCCCAUGAAGCUGGAGUCGCUAGUAAUCGUGAAUCAGCAAUGUCACGGUGAAUACGUUCUCGGGGCUUGUACACACCGCCCGUAAGCUU